GGAACACUACCUCAUCCCCCAGUACUCUCUCGGUCUCUCCUCUCCUCUCCACUCACCCAACCUCUCUCGCUCCCGGUCUGCCCUCCCUCCCCCCGGCGCAUCCGCCGCGCGUGUCGAUGAGCUCCUGCCGCAACCGCGCGACUCCGACCAUCGACCACCGCAUCUGCCGCAUGCAUCGGCAAGUUGCCGCGCGAGGAAGAUCGCCACUGGUCCCGCAGCAGCCUUAGUUGGAGGAGGACGAUAGGUCCAUGGCGACGGAUGCUCAAGUAAGAGGAGCGGCCCCAAUGGUGGCGGCCUCGAGCACCAGGAUAAGUGCAAGCUGGGGAUGCAGGAGAGGUGCAGCGCGGGGCUCGGGGCUCCGACGAGCUGGGUGCGGCGCGACGGACGACGAUGGACGCAGGGACACGUUGAUCCGGGCGCGGGUGCUCAAUCCGGUCCCGUUCCGGCCGGAUCCGCGGCGGUGCUCAUCUCCGGCGAGGUGGCCGGUGACUCGCGGGACGACGGCGGCGCAAGACCACGGGAGGAGCUCAUCUCAUGGGGCUAGGGCGCGAGGUCCUGUUGGCUUCGGUUGCCGGUGGCUUGACGCAGGGGUGGCGGGGGUCCGGCAUCAUGGAGGCUCUUCGAGGGCGAGGAAGCAGACGGCCACGGCAACUUUGAGGCCGGCGGGGGCACCGUCUCCGCGUUCGAUGGUCGUGGUGAAUGUCGCGGGCUCCAACGCGGCCGCCGUUGGCUCUAUCCCCUAUAGAGUAGUAAAGCUACUCUGCUGAAACCACAAAUUCAGAGAUCAUAAGCGGGCGGAGGCAGUCCGGUACGUCGGCAAUCCUCUCCUGGCCUUCCGAAUUCCUGGCCAACGCAGCAAGCCCAUCAGCAAGGGCAUUGCACAAUCUCCCCACGCUACUGCUUCCCUGUCAUCAGUUCCUUAAUCCGAAUUUGGCAAUCAAGUUCCAAAAUCACGGGGCCCUGUAGAUCCUUGAGAGCAUGAAACCCAAUGAGGGCUGCUUUUGCUUCGGCCUCCUCAACACCUGCGACAACACCUGCAGAAUAUUCAGAAUAAAUCGCAAGAACUGCACAACAUUCAGAUAAAAAUAACAACAUGCCCUUUGCUGUCCCUUGCGACGGCACCUGCAGAAUAUUCACCCAUUUCCUCCAAGUACGAGGCUACAGAAUUUAGUUUGAUUGAUCCCAAGGCCAGCCCUGUCCAAUGCAAGUGCUGCGUGGUGGGGCAGCAGGGCUGCUGUACCACAAUUGCACCCACACCUUUUCCUGCUUCAUGAUCGCCACUCAUUACCGCUGAUUUAAAUUCUUCAGAAUACCUCGCAAGAACUGCACAGAUUCCAUAAUCGAUUCUUUGCCCACACUGCGAAUGCAGUCCUCACGCAGGCACAACCUUUUUUUUUGGUAUUCAUACAGAUCAGUUUGUAUACUUUGCAGAUUGCUUGGCAAUUUUUGUAUCUAUUCAUGUCACUGUCAUAGCGGGUUAGUUUCCGAUGCUUGACGGAUGAAUUAUCUGUAUAUUUUUCAGUCCAACAAUUCAGUGCGCUCUUAGCGCUUUGGUGUCUUUGGUUUAAUCGCAAAGUGUGUACACUUGGUAUCGGUUCUGUCAAAAUGAAUACGGCAAUAACUUGGUUGGAAAAGGAACUACAACAUAGCAGUGGGCACUCAGGGAAUGUCAAUGCACAAAAGGACACCAUUGUUAACACAAAACAAAGUUCUUCUAGUACCUCAACAAAAAUGCACCCGAUCCUCUAGAUUUCAAUAGAAGGACUCUAAAUUUAUGUCACUCUGAAAGUCACAUCUCUCCAUCUCCAUGAACAAAUCACAUCACAGGAACAUUCCAUCUAGUAUGAAACUUCAGACAGGGAAAUAGAUUGAAAUUAAAUUCCAAUCUGGGUGGCUGCCACCUCUGAGAUAUCCACCCUUACAAACGACCAAUCCUCUGAUUUUUGUUGUUGCAAACUGCACUAAAGAGCUUUUUGAAUCGCGUGGUCGAUCAAAAGGCCGUGGAAAAAUAUCCCAAACAAUAUCGAUAGAUUGAUGUGCAGACGUGAACAUAUUUAAAGGGCGGGGAAGACGAACCAGCGGUAGUCUUCUCUGUGAUCAUUUGCGUAGCCACCUUCUUGACCUCAUCUUCUGUGAGCAUCCCAUCAAUGUUCAUGUUCCACCUGUUAAUGUGAGACACCCAAAGGAAAAAAUUUAUCAGUAUGUUAGAUUGACUUAAACUGAACAUAGCUUAGUCCAAGAUGUGGUCAGUAAUCUCCGUCUAGACCUCUCUGAGCCGAUCCUUGUUAAUGCCUUCAUCCGGCUCAAUGUUCCUCUGCCUCGACAUAUCCCGAACAGCUUGUCAGCAAACUCCUUGGAGUUCUCCAUGCCUUGGAUCUGAGAAGCAUGCCCAAUAAAAAGUUUAACAAUUAAAUGGCACUGCAAAAGUAAUUAGAAAGUCUAACACAUUUGCACAAUUACUGUAUUAUGAAACCUGUAAAAACUCAGUUACUGGACGAGCAUACAAACUGAAAAUCCUACUGUUUUAUAUAAUCUUCACAUUCCAUUCAUCAAGCAGAUAGUAGCAAUCAUUCUAAUAAUUUGAAUCAAAACUUGGAGACUCCCAAUUAUGAAAAGCACAAGCGUUGAACAAAUUAAGUUGGCUGAGAUGGUUGUGCCCUCCAAUUGCAGUCUGAUGGAUCGCGGGUUCUAGUCCCCUUGUUCGCGACAUAUUUUUCUCAAUCUCCACCUUUGUUUUCCGCCAUCAAUCAUUAAAAAACCAGGAGUGCGGGCAAUCAAGGGAUUUACCGGGAGUGCGGGUGAUCACAGGAUUAGUGGGGACGUAAGCAAACAAGGAAAAAUAAGGCAGUUCGAGCGGACGUACAACCAACAUAGGAUUCAGAUCCGAUGGCAAAGGAUCCGUUCGGAUCUAUUGCAGAAUUCCUGUGUUUAGAUUUUUUGCGUUUUUUAUAAAAAUAUUUUAUAUAUUAAUAUUAAACACAUAUAAACAAGAGUGGAACAAACCGAACUGUUUUUUCCACCCACACAGCCUUGCCCCCUCCUAAAAAAAGUCUUAUCCCCUAAAAUGGCAUGCUUAUCCUCGAUGCACAUGACAGCGGCUAGUUCCUCUCACUCUCUCCCCCUCACAGCCACUCCAGUCCAUGGCGCCCCUCCCAUCGACGGCGUCGCCCGACCCUUCCUCUCCCCGUCAGGGCGUUGCCCCGCCAUCUCUCCUCCACGCCACAGCUCCGCCCGCACGAUCCUCUCCCCGCGACGGCGUCGCCGGCCUCCUUCUCUCCCCGUCAACAUCUCGCGCCGCCGUGUCAACGCCAAUCCCGCGCGCCCGCUGGUCUGGCAUCCUAGGCAGCCAGAACCGGAUGGUAGUUGCAGAAGGGCUCACGGCUCUCCGUACAUGCCGGCCACGUAGCUGUACCGUCCGGAUGUGGGUGGGAAGACCACGGCGCCCUUGUCGUCGAGCCCGGUCUUCUACCCCACUCAAACUGCGCUGAGCACAGUCGCGCUACCGCCUCGUCGAUCUCCAUGACAGGCCACCCCAGGCCGAUAGGGCAUUACUCAAGUGAGCUGAUGAAGUAAGAGGAAUCCAGAGGCGUGGGAUUUGCACUGUGUAUCACUUUAAGCAUGGUUGGCCGCAUCGUUGGCUCCUCUUGAAAGCACAUGUACUACUUGCACCAAGAGUUCUGCAGCAAGAAUUUAACAGUCGAAAAACCGUAUCAACUAUAUGUAUGCCCCAAUGCGAUCAACAACAAGAAAUUAUGCUCGCAAUUACCUGGCACUGGCACUGGAGUCAUUCGGGAAGGAUGCUCAAGAUUAGGAAUGUCACCAAGAGGGGCUCGGCUAGAGUUAUCACCAAGAGGGGAUCGGCACAGAUUUGUCGCCUCCAUAUCUUCAAGCGUCAUGGUCUGUCGGCGCUUGUAACGAAAUAAAAUAAACCAUUAUUAUUUCUGUGAACUGUACACAUUAAAUAUAUACCGGGCCAAAAUCUAACUUUGAAGCAUGCGAUCAGGUUUUUGACCAGGUAUAUUUGUCUUGAAUGGAAGGACAAACACAAAGAACCAUUACAUCAAGAAGCUAUCAGGCUUGAGGGCCUCACAUAUUUUCAUGACGCUUUCUGAAUAUGAGCCAGAGCUAUUUCCUAGUCUGAUUUCUCCUGGGUGUACUCUGCUUUCUGGUGUCUGAUUUGAUGACAAGAAUAUUGUGUCGACGGUCAGCGCCUGGAUUGUAAAUUGGACUUGAAAGCAAUAGCUCUCUAGGCACGCAAUGCAGAUUAUAACCCCAAGGUAAAAUCAUUAUCCUAAUGCAUUCUUCAUGAUGUUGGCUUUUCCCCCUUACUGGGCCUGUGAUGCUAUAUUUCCAAAAACAUCCAAAUUUUAUCACUUUGCUAGCAUCCACAUGUCUUUGUGAAUCCUGCUGUGUAGAUGGUGGAUAGCCUGGUAAAAGAGUAGAGACUUUGUACAUGGGUUCUUUUGUGUAUGUACCCUUCUGAAUUUGUGCUCAUUCGCUGAGAAAUUAGAGAACACCAGCUUACUAAAUAAUUUUUGAUCGAAUGGUGAGUUGAGACUCUCUACCUGACUGCCUUUUAGGCUUUAGCAUGAGGGUAAAGGUUAUUCAAGCAUAUAAACGGUCAACUAAUAAUAUGAAGGGUUAUACCACAGAAAAGUCAUUAUACCUGGAAGCUGACAAUCAAGCAAUAACCUUAGGGAAUCUACAACUAAAGCAUGCAUGACAUCCACCUAAACAAAAUUUAGACAUGUACUCCCUCCGUCCCAUAAUGUAAGACGUUUUUUGACACUAGUGUAGUGUAAAAAAACGUCUUACAUUAUGGGACGAAGGGAGUACAUUGCACACACAUAUUUCAGCAUACAUUGAGCCAAAAAAAUCACACACCGUGGCCUUCUACCCUACUACUUGCUGAACAAAAUUCAUUCGUCGCACACAUUAGCCUGUUGCAGUACUACUUGCUGAAGCUGCUGAGAACGCACAAUCAACAAGAACAACACAAAAUCGUGAAAGAGAGGGUCGAUGACUCGAGGUAAUCAGUUACCAUGUCUAAUUGUGAUCUGGUGGGGAAGAGAAGCUGGAUUGGCAAGGAAGAGAAGCUCCAGCCAGCGACAAGGAAGAGAAGUAAGACCCCAACGGCGGUGCUGAAUCAGAGAAGGAUCCAGCAGUGCAAUGCGGUGGCAGUGGAAGCGGCACGAUCCAGUAGUGCAUGGCGGCGGCGGCACAACAGGAGUAGUGCGCGGCCUCUCCUCCCCGACGGAACCGGCGCCCCACCUGCCUCUCUGAUGGUACCACACACCCGCAACAUCCCUCUUCCCUCCAGUACAUAAUUAGCAAUUGCAUCAACCAGGCAUCAAUUGUUCUAAAUCAUCCAUCAAACCAUAUUCUAGGGACUAAUAGAAAGUUACCUUUUGAGGCAAAAGCUUCAGCUCAAACAUGAUGAAUUUUGGCCUGAAUCUUGGCUAACUCAUCUCCUUUCUUUUGUCCCCCAUAGUCUUCUCUCUCCCUGGCUAUUUCCCCUAGAUGUGUUAGCACAGGAGUAGCAGCUCACCUCUCAAGGCCCCUCUCUCUGCUCCAUCGCAUCUGUGAUCCACUUCUAUAAAUGCGGGCAGACAACAUCACCUAAUCUUGCAUAAUCUAAACCAAGACCGCAUCAAAGAACCAGGUUAGAAUCAAAGGAGGGAGACAGGAGGGAAGUAAAUGCAUAAUCAGUUAUCUGCUUGUAACUCAAGGAAUUAUACCGCAACAUUUCCUCAAGUGCAGGCAAACUCGAAUGAUGUGCCGCUUGAUGAAACAUCUGCUUUUAACUCCGGAACUCAUGCUUCAGCAUAUGUUCCAUUGUGGGAUAAUCCUACACUUGGGAGGCAAGCCCAAGAUCACAUGAAGGUGUCAUUUGCAUUGCAACUGAACACUACAUAUCAGUAGUUCAGAUGUUUCCUCUUUGAUCACAUGAAGGCCCAUUCUUUAUCCCAUCUGCUUGCAGCGUCCCUAAAAAAAUCCCCUAGCAGCAUACAUCGUGCGCCUCCGCCGCCAGCCCACAACGGAGUCCCGGCCGCCGGCUCCCCGGUGCUCUCCGCCUCCCCGAAAGGCCGUUUCUCACCACCUUCCCGUACUCGCCGGCUCUUCGCACCUCCGAGGUCUCAGCUCUCCCAAAGAUCCUCUCCAACUCGGAGUUCCUCGCGUAGGGCACCGGCUCACACCGGCGUGCGGAGGCGAGGCAUGCCGCCGCUCCUCCGACCAGCCAACCAUAGCGGCGUGGCUCCUUUGACAAGCGGAGGGGCUCUCCUCUCCCACUGGUCGGCCUUGACUUCGACUCCUACAGCUGCACCUCGACUUCAGGUCACACCGGCCAGCAUUCUCCAUUGCCAAAUCUUAACCAUACCGAGUUCCUCCGACCAUCGUCGUGAAUCUCCAAUCAGAUAAGUCAGCCUUCAUGUGUAUCGCCCUUUAUAUCUCCACUCCGUUCCUCUUUGUUUUGAUAUAUAUCUCCACUCUGUUCUGAUUGUCAGGAAGAAGGUGGAUUGGUGGCCGUUUCCAGUAUGUACAUGGGACGACAACGGUUGGUUCCUUGGUUGAAGGAUGCAAUGCAUCUCGCUGAAUUGCAAGUUGUACUAUUUUGGGUCUGCCUAGAUACCCAAGCAGGGGAGAUAAAAGCUACAAGUUGGGAAGAAAAGCCAGGGAUGAUUCUCAGUGGUACUCUUUACUUGGUAUUUGAUGAUUACUCUUUACUUGGUACAAGGUUCUUGAUGAUUUUAAUAGUCUGACCCUGCUGUAGAAAGCACUUCACAUACAUGCCUGGAUGUGUUCGAGAUGCAUUGCAGUGUGUAUUCAUAGGUGGCCACGAAGGGCGACUAAAAGUAAUUCUGGGGAUCGAAAUCAGAUCGAGAUGCAUCUGCCUGAAUAUAAAAUAUAAGGCAAAGUUCAAUGUGUGCCCCAUCAUUGGCCCUGAUCUCUCUAUCUUCUUAGCCCUCCCAGUGCCCGGCCACUUUCAGUGGUUCUCCACUAAUUUCUCCUCUUUACCAAUCGAAUACGUUCAUCUAAUUCAUGUUUUAUAACAAAAAGAGGGGCCAUGCAGAUUAAUUCUUUACAUCGGCUCAAGUCUUAUUACUAGAAAUUGAUCUUUCUUCUCAAUUGAUUUAUCUAAUGUGGUUGUAGGACUUGCAGCCAAUAUAAAGAGAAGGAGAUUUUUCUUCCAAAUGCUAUAGUUGCACUUCACAUCAUUGGGAUCGUGGAUGUUGAUACCAAUUGGAUGUGCUCCCGUGUUGUCCCAAGUGCAGCAAUUUCUCGCUGAUGCAUCAGGCAAAGAUUUUUUUACCCAAAAGGCAAAGAUACAUAGCUAGCAGUUUAUCAGCGGAUGACUCUUGCUUUGUUGAUUGUUGUGCUUAAUCAAUAUCCUUACAGGUAACUCACAUGCCACCAUGAUCCAGUAUGAUAUUUGUUCAAAUGUAUAACAUACAUAUCUAUUUUUUCUUUCUAUGCUUGCACAUCUCCGAAGUCUAGACCAGAAUGCUGCUUUUAAUUAUGUUGGCUAUGCAUGCAUGUAAUGUGUGUUGUACAACUAUUUAGUAAAGCGUUCAUUGUAUUCUUUGCACAUGCCAUUUCCAACCUCUUCGAAAGCAUAUAUGUCAACCUGCUACUAAUCCAUACGUUUUAUAUACUUACAUUACUAUAUUUAUAAUUUAUUAUUAUUUUGGAACAGUUUCUGGGUAUAUCAGGACGUACCAAGUCAGUUUGAUAGAACUGAUUUGUGAACCCAGAUUAAUUGCAGAGCCAUACCUAAUUUUCAAAAGACUUGAGGGCUUUAAUAGACAGUGGGGCCUUUUUCCUCUAAUCAAUGUAGAAGUAUUUGAUCUUGCCUCAAAAAAGGUUACAUUGCCCUAGAUUAUAUGUGAAAAUUUAGUUAGCUUAUUUGUGUAUAAAUUAUGAAGAAUAAAACUAUGUUAUAAUCUGAAAAGAAAAUGUAUAGAGACAAGUAGAAAGUAAUGUGGAUUCGAACUACCCCGGUUAUAUAUUAAGACUAUUACAUCAUUGACCUUGCCGCGAACUCUGGAUAUUCUCGACUCUAGGUCCACAAAGUUCGUGUAUGCCAUACCUCUAAAAGUAAUGUUAGUGUUAUGAUUCAUUAGUAAAGCUUCUCCUCUAUUCAGAUUGAAUCUGAGAAGCCUAACAGCGAGCAAAUUCCUCUGUGUUGCUUCAGUUAUAUGGCUCGAGCUGGCCAAACCUGAAAACUUCAGUGAAGAGUGAAAGUACAUCUAAAGUACUUUCUGUUACCUACAAUCCUAUUACUUGAUUUUUAUGCUACUGUGCGUAUGGGUGAAUCUGCAAGAUGAUGCAAAAAUUUGCUUGCAGAUAGCAUGUGUGUAUGUGUACAGAUAUGCAUGUUGUAUGUUUAUAUCAAUUUUGCAACAUUGAUAUUUGUUCAGAUGGUUCUAAAUAGUUCUUCAGUGAAGAUUAAGAGUACAUCUACAUUACAUUUUGUUGCCUACCCUAUUAAAUGAUUUUUUUUGCUAAUUGUGUGUAUGGGUAAAUCUGCAAGAUGAUGCAAAAAAUUGCUUGCAGAUAGUCUGUAUGUGUACACAGAUGCUUCUAAGCAGUGCUCUAGCAGAAUAGUGCUCCCCUUUCCUUACUGUUGUUGCUAAAUAUUUGUUUUUUGUGGCAUAUGAGGACUGAACAGUAUCAGGCCAUCGACCUCACCCUGGGAGUCCACUUCUUCACGGUCACGACAUCCACCUUGACAUCCCUAUUUUGUGUUGUUUAGUUGCAUGUGGUUCAUGCAAACUUCCUGAAGCAUUUUAUUGAAAUUGGAUAGAACUGAGAAAAUCUAUGUAUACGUACAAUUUUGUUUUCCUUUUUCUAGCAGUUGAGUUCCAGAGACGAAUGGGGAUUGGGGAGGUGAACUUUGAGCUGGAACUCUCUAUGUGUUCUUGCAAUCAUAAUGCCGGGGGAUUAUAAGACAACAUACAGUUUGUUCAUUUUCUUUUGGAGUUCAUUCGCCGCGAGGAAAAAAUCUACUUGCUGCCUGAGAACCAAAGCCACAAUAGAUCAAGUUACUUGGUCGGAAGAAAUUGUCAAGGGCUGCAGCUUACACAUGAUCGGGGGUGGCGAUCUUAGUCUAUCUCACCUGAGUUACAUGUUAUAAAAAAUAGUAUAGAUGUAGAACAACCUACAGUAUAAUUGUACGUCUCAACUAUCUGUCAUAUGUCUUACUAACAUACCUUUUUUUGAACCGGUCUUAUUAUUAUAUUUUUUUGAAGCGGUCUUACUAUUAUA